rnacentral:lncRNA from 1 species
UGAUCAUUAAUUAAUACCCUCAAAGUCUCCGGCCCUUUUCCAGUCAUAAAAGGUCUCUCUCGUUUCUCACACUGCAACUCUCUCUUCUCAUCUUUAUCUUCAGUCCCGUUAUAUUUCUCUGUCAAAAAUCUGAAGCCCUGUUUUGGCUUUUCCCUGAUAUUUCUAUUUUUUUAAUCCAUUUAGCCUCUUUCUAUAUCAAGAUCCAGAAAAUCGAGCGAUUUUUGACUGGGCAUGUAAGCAGUGUAUGCUAUAAAAUCCUCCAUUGAUCUCUUUGCAUCUUUUGCCUUUAUUCUUGUAUCCAUUCGUAUUAUUUUUUACACGGGUUUUUUAAAUAUAUUUUCUCGAUCUUGAUCUUGAUCAUGUCUCGUAAUUAUCGGUUUGUAUAUUUUUGCCAUUCAUUCUGUUUAAUUGCUGAUUGUAUUUGUACUACGUCUUGAAAAAGGAACUUUCAAAUAAUCAGAUGUUGUUAUUUUCGGGCUUCUUUUCGAGCAUUGAAAUGGAUAGCUUGGCUUUAGGAUUCUGAACUUAUAGUAGUUGAAUGAGUAAAAAUUCUGUUUCCAGAUUUCUCGUCUUUAAAGAUCUAUUCCUUUGAAUGACUUUGUGAUUGUGUCUGUUUCUUGAUUUCAGUUAUAGAUGGGUAUAUACCUCAGUGCUCCUAAAACAGAGAAAUUUUCUGAAGAUGGUGUGAACAGUAGGCUUAGAUAUGGCUUAUCAUCCAUGCAAGGAUGGCGUGCUACAAUGGAAGAUGCUGUAAG